rnacentral:rRNA from 1 species
CGAGCGGGGGAGGUAGCUUGCUACGGACUAGCGGCGGACGGGUGAGUAUGCUUAGGAUCUGCCUAUUAGUGGGGGACACAUCUCGAAAGGGAUGCUAAUACCGCAUACGUCCUACGGGAGAAAGCAGGGGAUCUUCGGACCUUGCGCUAAUAGAUGAGCCUAAGUCGGAUUAGCUAGUUGGUGGGGUAAAGGCCUACCAAGGCGACGAUCUGUAGCGGGUCUGAGAGGAUGAUCCGCCACACUGGGACUGAGACACGGCCCAGACUCCUACGGGAGGCAGCAGUGGGGAAUAUUGGACAAUGGGCGCAAGCCUGAUCCAGCCAUGCCGCGUGUGUGAAGAAGGCCUUAUGGUUGUAAAGCACUUUAAGCGAGGAGGAGGCUACUUUAGAUAAUACCUAGAGAUAGUGGACGUUACU